GACGAACGCUGGCGGCGUGCUUAACACAUGCAAGUCGAACGGAAAGGCCCUGCUUUUGUGGGGUGCUCGAGUGGCGAACGGGUGAGUAACACGUGAGUAACCUGCCCUUGACUUUGGGAUAACUUCAGGAAACUGGGGCUAAUACCGGAUAGGAGCUCCUGCUGCAUGGUGGGGGUUGGAAAGUUUCGGCGGUUGGGGAUGGACUCGCGGCUUAUCAGCUUGUUGGUGGGGUAGUGGCUUACCAAGGCUUUGACGGGUAGCCGGCCUGAGAGGGUGACCGGCAACAAUGGGACUGCGAUGCGGCCCAGACGCCUACGGGAGGCAGCAGUGGGGAAUAUUGCACAAUGGGCGGAAGCAUGAUGCAGCAACGCCGCGUGCGGGAUGAAGGACUUCGGGUUGUAAACCGCUUUCGCCUGUGAAGAAGCGGGAGUGACGGUAAUGGGUAAAGAAGCACCGGCUAACUACGUG
rnacentral:rRNA from 1 species